rnacentral:lncRNA from 1 species
UACGGCAGCUUUAGGGAGGUGCUCUGAGACCCGAAACUAGACUCGACUUUAACAGACACAGACGACCCUGAAGAUGGAAACGUUUUCUUCCAAAUUGUGCUGCACGUUUUUGGCGAGAGCAUGGGGCUGUGCGGCGUCCCCUCCCUGGCGCCCACCUGUGCCCUGCACACUGGCCUGCACUGUGGUGAUCUCGCUUGGCCCCCACCUGAUUCCCGACAUACAGCAGAGGAACCUUAGGCUCAGGUGGAACAGCCUCAACUGAUUCUGUCCCUGAACUUCCGUACACAGCCCUGGAGUCGUCUUAGAGCCAUGAUUUAUUUAACUGUUCUUUCAUUUUACAGAACAUAAAAUGUAUUGUUUCCAACUUUUUUCCUAUGGUAAAUAAUACUAAAGUAAAUAUCUCUGUGCAUGAAUCUUUUUGUAUAUGUUGGAAUAUCCUUAAGAUAAGGCCCCAGAACUAAAAGUACCCUGUCAAAAGGUGAGCAUUUCCGGUUCCCCUGCUGUGCUUUGCUGCGUUGUUCUCUCCUGCUGCAACGUUCUCACUCCACAAUCCUGGGGCAGGGAGGGGAGGCCCAGCUGAGUUUGGAUCAUAAUCCUGAAAGACACA